rnacentral:lncRNA from 1 species
AAAAGGUUAUCUUCUUCACCUCAUCUCAUCUCACCUCCACCAUCCAACCCACCACAAAACCAAACCUAGAAAACUCACAUUCGCUGACUGAUCAACCGGUCAUAGCCACCUAUCUCACCCCAAUUCAUAAACUGCCACCACCACCACAAUCAAACCAAAACAAUCACUAUCACCACCAAACCAUCAAACCCACCCUUUCUAUUGGGAAAAUUGCAGUAAUUUUGGUAGCCACCCAAAUCCAAAGAAACCAUUGGUCACCAAUCCAUCGAAAUUUCUUCCCUAGCCGAUGGCCUCAAUCCACAUACACAUCCCACACAAUUAAUUGGACAAACAACAACACAAGAAGAUCAAAAUGAAAUUGAAAAGCCAAAGGAGUCUCAUGGCUUAACCCCUCAAAUAGCCACCUACAGUCACACCAAUGGUCGCGCCUCACUGCUGCUAGUCUUACCACUCUAGGCAAGCAUAUUCAUGGUGGAAUAUCAUCAAAUCAAAAGAUAGAGAUGGGUUGGAUUUUCAGAACUUCGAAAUUUUUUAAUGAUGGGUUGGGUUUUCAGGGGCUUCGAUGGAUGGUUGGGAGAGGGAAUUUGACCAAGGUUUGAUGAUAGGAUGGUGGAGGAAGGUGAUGGUAGUUCGGCAAAGAAGGCGGCGACAACAACGAUUUAGG